rnacentral:rRNA from 1 species
CCUACGGGAGGCAGCAGUGAGGAAUAUUGGUCAAUGGCCGGAAGGCUGAACCAGCCAUGCCGCGUGAAGGUCAGUGCCCUAUGGGCGUUAAACUUCUUUUGUGCGGGAGCAAUAAUGGUCACGUGUGGCCAGACGAGAGUACCGUACGAAUAAGCAUCGGCUAACUCCGUGCCAGCAGCCGCGGUAAUACGGGGGAUGCAAGCGUUAUCCGGAUUUAUUGGGUUUAAAGGGGGCGUAGGCUGUGAGGUAAGUCAGCGGGGAAAUGCCCCCGGUCAACGGGGUGAAGUGCCAUUGAUACUGGCUGGCUGGCAUGCGGAUGCGGUGGGAGGAAUGUGUGGUGUAGCGGUGAAAUGCAUAGAUAUCACACAGAACACCGAUUGCGAAGGCAUCUCACGAAUCCGCGAUUGACGCUGAUGCACGAAGGCGUGGGUAUCAAACAGGAUUAGAUACCCCGGUAGUC